UCCAAAUGUUAUGAAUCGACUGCGGACUUCCAAAGCGCAGGUGAAGAAGAGGCGGCGCAAAAACAAAAUCUAAUGUAAGGUGGAAUGUCUUUAAAAACGGACAGUGAUAUUCAGGGUAGGCAAAAGUACAUCUUCGAAGAUUAUUAUAUAAACUUGAUAUGGCUAGACUGGUAUGUUCCUGACUAUAUGGACAAGAUUAAGGCUGAACCAAAUAUGAAUAACAAAAUGUUGGUAAAAAGGACAAAUUCAAAAAAUACUUGAUGUCACCAGGAAUGAUAAUACAUAUGUGCCAACGACCUGGCAUAAAUCAAAGAUGCCAAAAUCCGUGCAAAAUGAAGAAGACCAGGCCCUAGGCUCCGACGCUUUACGGCUCAGGAAGCAACCUAAAAAUCGUUCAGAUAAGAAAAACAGUUAAGUUGUGUGACGGGGCGAGAUGGUGUGACGAAUCGGGAGAGGACAUAACUGGCGGCACAGCUUGAGUCUUCAGAGAAAGUGCUUAAAUGUGAAGAAUAAAAUAAAAAU